rnacentral:rRNA from 1 species
GCAAGCGUUGUCCGGAAUCAUUGGGCGUAAAGAGCGUGUAGGCGGCCAGAUAAGUCCGCUGUGAAAUCUCGAGGCUCAACUUCGAGCUGUCGGUGGAAACUGUCUGGCUAGAGUCCGGAAGAGGAGAAUGGAAUUCCUGGUGUAGCGGUGAAAUGCGCAGAUAUCAGGAAGAACACCCGUGGCGAAAGCGGCUCUCUGGAACGGUACUGACGCUGAGACGCGAAAGCGUGGGGAGCAAACAGG